GUGAGGAAUAUUGCGCAAUGGAGGCAACUCUGACGCAGCCAUGCCGCGUGCAGGAAGAAGGCGCUACGCGUUGUAAACUGCUUUUAACCGGGAAGAAACCCCAGGACGUGUCCUGGGUUGACGGUACCGGAGGAAUAAGCACCGGCUAACUUCGUGCCAGCAGCCGCGGUAAUACGAAGGGUGCAAGCGUUAUCCGGAUUCAUUGGGUUUAAAGGGUGCGUAGUCGGAGCGUUAAGUCAGUGGUGAAAUCCUGCAGCUUAACUGUAGACUUGCCAUUGAUACUGGCGCGCUUGAGUGCGCUUGAAGUGGGCGGAAUGUGCCGUGUAGCGGUGAAAUGCUUAGAUAUGGCACAGAACACCAAUUGCGAAGGCAGCUCACUAAGGCGAUACUGACGCUGAGGCACGAAAGCGUGGGGAUCGAACAGGAUUAGAUACCCUAGUAGUCC
rnacentral:rRNA from 1 species